rnacentral:lncRNA from 1 species
CGGCCGCGGGGAGCGGCGCUGGGAUUUGGGAGCGGCGGGGUCGGCGCGGCAGGACGCGGGGGUCGGGCAGGGCUCGGUGGGAAGAAGUUCUGACUAAGAAGCAAACCAAGAAUUUGGAAUAUAAGCAGGAAAUGAGACACCUGAGGUCAUGGGGCGAAAUUACUGGAUGAAAGAGGAACCAAUAAUGCCAGCACUGAACUGGAAGCCCUUUAUCUAUGGAGGUUUAGCAUCAAUCACUGCAGAAUGUGGUAAGAGUUUGCUUUAAUUGUUGACAUGAUUUUCUUUACUUGGACAGUCUCUAUGUAAAACAAAUAGGGUUCCAUGCUGCCGGUGACACAGUGGUAUAUGGUGGCCUGC